rnacentral:rRNA from 1 species
GACGAACGCUGGCGGCGUGCUUAACACAUGCAAGUCGAACGGAAAGGCCCUGCUUUUGUGGGGUGCUCGAGUGGCGAACGGGUGAGUAACACGUGAGUAACCUGCCCUUGACUUUGGGAUAACUUCAGGAAACUGGGGCUAAUACCGGAUAGGAGCUCCUGCUGCAUGGUGGGGGUGGGAAAGUUUCGGCGGUUGGGGAUGGACUCGCGGCUUAUCAGCUUGUUGGUGGGGUAGUGGCUUACCAAGGCUUUGACGGGUAGCCGGCAUGAGAGGGUGACCGGCGACAUUGGGACUGAGAUACGGACCAGAGUCCUACGGGAGGCAGCAGUGGGGAAUAUUGCACAAUGGGCGGAAGCCUGAUGCAGCAACGCCGCGUGCGGGAUGACGGCCUUCGGGUUGUAAACCGCUUUCGCCUGUGACGAAGCGUGAGUGACGGUAAUGGGUAAAGAAGCACCGGCUAACUACGUG